rnacentral:rRNA from 1 species
GUUUGAUCCUGGCUCAGGACGAACGCUGGCGGCACGCCUAACACAUGCAAGUCGAACGGAGAAAAUGAUUUCGGUUAUUUUCUUAGUGGCGGACGGGUGAGUAACACGUGAGGAACCUGCCUCUGAGAGUGGGAUAGCUUCUGGAAACGGAUGGUAAUACCGCAUAACAUAGCGAAACCGCAUGAUUUUGCUAUCAAAGUAUUUCGCUCAGAGAUGGCCUCGCGUCUGAUUAGAUAGUUGGUGAGGUAACGGCCCACCAAGGCAACGAUCGGUAGCCGGACUGAGAGGUUGAACGGCCACAUUGGGACUGAGACACGGCCCAGACUCCUACGGGAGGCAGCAGUGGGGAAUAUUGCACAAUGGGGGAAACCCUGAUGCAGCGACGCCGCGUGGAGGAAGAAGGUCUUCGGAUUGUAAACUCCUGUUGUUGAGGAAGAUAAUGACGGUACUCAACAAGGAAGUGACGGCUAACUACGUGCCAGCAGCCGCGGUAAAACGUAGGUCACAAGCGUUGUCCGGAAUUACUGGGUGUAAAGGGAGCGCAGGCGGGAAGACAAGUUGGAAGUGAAAUCCAUGGGCUCAACCCAUGAACUGCUUCAAAACU